rnacentral:rRNA from 1 species
UAACCUGCCCAAGAGAUCGGGAUAACACCUGGAAACAGAUGCUAAUACCGGAUAACAACAGAUGAUGCCUAUCAACUGUUUAAAAGAUGGUUCUGCUAUCACUCUUGGAUGGACCUGCGGUGCAUUAGCUAGUUGGUAGGGUAACGGCCUACCAAGGCGAUGAUGCAUAGCCGAGUUGAGAGACUGAUCGGCCACAUUGGGACUGAGACACGUCCCAAACUCCUACGGGAGGCAGCAGCC